ACAGAGGGUGCAAGCGUUAAUCGGAUUUACUGGGCGUAAAGCGUGCGUAGGUGGUCUUUUAAGUCGGAUGUGAAAUCCCUGAGCUUAACUUAGGAAUUGCAUUCGAUACUGGGAGACUAGAGUAUGGGAGAGGAUGGUAGAAUUCCAGGUGUAGCGGUGAAAUGCGUAGAGAUCUGGAGGAAUACCGAUGGCGAAGGCAGCCAUCUGGCCUAAUACUGACACUGAGGUACGAAAGCAUGGGGAGCAAACAGG
rnacentral:rRNA from 1 species